rnacentral:rRNA from 1 species
AGAGUUUGAUCCUGGCUCAGGAUGAACGCUAGCUACAGGCUUAACACAUGCAAGUCGAGGGGCAGCAUGUUGGUUGCUUGCAACCAACGAUGGCGACCGGCGCACGGGUGAGUAACGCGUAUCCAACCUACCCUUGUCCAUCGGAUAACCCGUCGAAAGGCGGCCUAACACGAUAUGCGGUUCACCGCAGGCAUCUAACGUGAACGAAAUGUGAAGGAGAAGGAUGGGGAUGCGUCUGAUUAGCUUGUUGGCGGGGUAACGGCCCACCAAGGCUACGAUCAGUAGGGGUUCUGAGAGGAAGGUCCCCCACAUUGGAACUGAGACACGGUCCAAACUCCUACGGGAGGCAGCAGUGAGGAAUAUUGGUCAAUGGACGAGAGUCUGAACCAGCCAAGUAGCGUGCAGGAUGACGGCCCUAUGGGUUGUAAACUGCUUUUAUAGGGGGAUAAAGUGUGCCACGUGUGGCAUAUUGCAGGUACCCUAUGAAUAAGGACCGGCUAAUUCCGUGCCAGCAGCCGCGGUAAUACGGAAGGUCCGGGCGUUAUCCGGAUUUAUUGGGUUUAAAGGGAGCGUAGGCCGUUUGGUAAGCGUGUUGUGAAAUGUCGGGGCUCAACCUGGGCAUUGCAGCGCGAACUGCCAGACUUGAGUGCGCAGGAAGUAGGCGGAAUUCGUCGUGUAGCGGUGAAAUGCUUAGAUAUGACGAAGAACUCCGAUUGCGAAGGCAGCCUGCUGUAGCGCAACUGACGCUGAAGCUCGAAAGCGUGGGUAUCGAACAGGAUUAGAUACCCUGGUAGUCCACGCGGUAAACGAUGGAUGCUCGCUGUUUGCGUCUGACGUAAGCGGCCAAGCGAAAGCGUUAAGCAUCCCACCUGGGGAGUACGCCGGCAACGGUGAAACUCAAAGGAAUUGACGGGGGCCCGCACAAGCGGAGGA